UUNGUAAAUCUCAGCCCUGCCUGCUGCAUC
rnacentral:piRNA from 1 species